rnacentral:lncRNA from 1 species
UUUUCUCAAAAUUCGAAUCAUCUACACACUGAUGAAUCAUUGCCAGAGCUUUGCAAUCUCUCUUCAUGCACUCUCUGUGAAGGGAUCUCUGCACUUCAGUAGCUUCAUCUUCCACUGCUUGGAAACCAUCUUGCACAACAUCAAGGACUUCUUGAUAUCCAAAAAGAACCUUCAUCUGCACUUGCCAUCUUUCAUAGUUCUUGCCAUUUAGAGUUGGUAGAACCAUUGUAAAUCCGCUAUUGCUUGCCAUUAGUGAGCUUCCUUCUUCCUUCUUACC